rnacentral:lncRNA from 1 species
ACGCCCACCUGCCUUGAUGGGUUUUUGGGGAGCCGGCAGGACUGCAGCCAGGAAGCGGCUCUGUGGAGUCCCGGAUGUGUGUUGGGUGGGGACGGGAGGCAGCUGCUCUGGUGAGUCCUUCCCUCCAACUCCCCCGUACUCAGACCACACAAGGUACAGUCCCGUUGGGGCUGAGGGGCGGGGACACCCUCAAGGCCAUGUUCCUGCAGGGCUUUGUCCAGGCCGCAGGUGCUGCGCGGCAGUCUCUGCCUUUGCACGGGUGUCGCUGACGCCAGCGAGGUGGAAAGUGGGCGGCUGGGAGGCCAGGCCUGCUCCCGCCCACCUACCAUACAGUUUGGCUCUGGAUGCCACAGUCUGGGUUUCUUGUCAUGGUUUUUCUGUUCGGCAAGCCCAUAAGUGGGGGCCCCUCCAGAGAGCAGGAGGUGGGCCGGGCAGAGGGAGCCUGCGCCUCGGGACUCGGUGGUGCU